GGCAGCCCGAGUUCGGUGUGGCUGCAGAGUCGAGGGUGACGGUGUCACGUGAGGAGUCGGGGCUGGAGAGGUGAGCAAAGUCCGGACCAGGAAAAACAUUGCACAAAUGGGCGGACGUUGUGUUCCACACUGUGCAAGAUUCUUUGGAGGAUUUCAGUGGAGGAGUGAUAUACUUUGGAGAAAAUACCAGUCUGGCAGCACAGGGAGAAUGGGCGGAGGGAGAGGGAGAAACCCAGACAAGAAGCUGCUGUGGUGAUCUGGGCAUUGAUGAUGGCGGCUGGACCUGCCAUACAAUGGGACAUUCGAGAAACAUUUCGAGGUUGAGUGGAGAAGCAAAUGGACUCAAGAAUCCAAGAGUGGGGGCUCCAGCCUGGACAGGCGGAUGAUAGCAGAAGUCUGCUCGAGUCUGGCACAUGGCUUGGGAAUGUUUUGCUCAGGAUGUGCUUCUAUCGUCUGGCAGAAUGUGAAGGACGCUCUGUAAUGACCCCUGAUAACACUGGAUCCCUUCUCCUUGGAACCACAGUCCCCUCCUAACUGAUGUUACAGGAUGAAGAAACACCCAAGGAACUCGGCCUUGGGAGGACGAAAUAAUAUGACCUGGGAUCACCUUUCCCUUUGAAUCUCAAGAC
rnacentral:lncRNA from 1 species